rnacentral:rRNA from 1 species
UACAGAGGGUGCAAGCGUUACUCGGAAUUACUGGGCGUAAAGCGUGCGUAGACGGUUGCGUAAGUCAGAUGUGAAAGCCCCGGGCUCAACCUGGGAAUUGCAUUUGAGACUGCGUAGCUAGGGUGCGGAAGAGGGAAGCGGAAUUUCCGGUGUAGCGGUGAAAUGCGUAGAUAUCGGAAGGGACACCAGUGGCGAAAGCGGCUUCCUGGUCCAGCACCGACGUUCAGGCACGAAAGCGUGGGGAGCAAACAGG